CCACCACCUUGAGUGGUUAAGGCUCCCAGUAGACGACUGGGUUGAUAGGCCAGAUGUGGAAGCCCGGUAACGGGUGGAGCUGACUGGUACUAAUAGGCCGAGGGCUUGUCCUCAGUUG
rnacentral:rRNA from 1 species